rnacentral:misc_RNA from 1 species
CCCGGCCUUAAAGCAAAGCCUCUCUCUUAAACAAAACAGAUAUAGGACCCCCCACUUUCUUCAACCAGAAGCCUACUCCAUUACUAAAAACCAUAUUGAGAUGCAUUAUAAAGCCAGCACUAUACCCACUGCCACCAGGUUCCCUGAGAAAAUGGCUGCAUCCACACCAGUUGCAAUAGGAACCAGGGGCACUGUAGGAUCGCUGGUGAGGAAAGAAAUUGAGUACUUCACCAAGAUUGAGCUAAACAGAUGUGCAAGCUCCAGGAAAACUCAGGGACAGAUGGUUGAUAUGGCUUCCAGCAGUGGACAUUCAAGGCCUAGUUUCUGGUCCUUGACACUGAACUGGAAAAGGAAGAAGAGAAGAGGCAACAACUCUGGAUUCCUUCCAAGCAUCUGCUCUGCUGUCGAAGUUGCAGAAACCAAUCGGCUUAAUGGGAUUCCUGGGUUCAGUUAUAGGAUCCUCACGAAUGAUGAGAAAGACACGACUGUUUAGGCAGACAAGCUUUCUGAUCUUUCUAAGCUGGUUGUGUGUAUAUAUGUUGUGUGAUCAUUGGGCCUUGCUUUUGCUGAUACUUUCACUUCAGGUCCAUAACUUCAAUACUAGUAUAUUCUGCUGUCACAGUUUCUUAUCUAUUGGGGAUUAUUUGUAAAGAAAUUAUGUCACAGAAAGAGCUAAAAAGCAAUGGUGUUUGGAACCGUUUUCCUGGAAUGAAUUCUGCAGGUUUACUUCUACAAGAAUUUGAUAUCUCCAAUGUGUGCCACAUAGAAAGGCAACAAAAACCAUCUUUCCAAGCUUUGGCUUUGAGUUCCAUUCAUAAAUUUUCAGCAUCUUUCUACGCAUAGCUGAAGAUUAAUAUUGAAAGCUUUAAACAAGAAACAAAAUGAUCCGAACUAUUAACAUAAUAUUGUACCUCUGAGAUUUGUUUUGUUCAAUGGUUUCCCUUUCUCUUUAAUUAAAUUUCUCAUAUACUU